GACGUAGGGCGCGAGCGUUGUCCGGAUUUAUUGGGCGUAAAGGGCUCGUAGGCGGCGUGUCGCGUCGGGGAGUGAAAGCCCGCUGCUUAACGGCGGGUUGGCUUCCGGUACGGGCAUCGCUGGAGUGCGGCAGGGGAGACUGGAAUUCCUGGUGUAGCGGUGGAAUGCGCAGAUAUCAGGAGGAACACCGGUGGCGAAGGCGGGGUCUCUGGGCCGUUACUGACGCUGGAGGAGCG
rnacentral:rRNA from 1 species